rnacentral:rRNA from 1 species
UUAAAGAGGGGCUUGCGUCACAUUAGUUAGUUGGCAGGGUAAAGGCCUACCAAGACUAUGAUGUGUAGCUGGACUGAGAGGUUGAACAGCCACAUUGGGACUGAGACACGGCCCAAACUCCUACGGGAGGCAGCAGUAGGGAAUUUUCGGCAAUGGAGGAAACUCUGACCGAGCAACGCCGCGUGAACGAUGAAGUAUUUCGGUAUGUAAAGUUCUUUUAUUGAAGAAGAAAAAAUAGUGGAAAAACUAUCUUGACGAUAUUCAAUGAAUAAGCCCCGGCAAACUAUGUGCCAGCAGCCGCGGUAAUACAUAGGGGGCGAGCGUUAUCCGGAAUUAUUGGGCGUAAAGGGUGCGUAGGCGGUUUAAUAAGUCUAUAGUUUAAUUUCAGUGCUUAACACUGUCCUGCUAUAGAAACUAUUAGACUAGAGUGAGAUAGAGGCAAGUGGAAUUCCAUGUGUAGCGGUAAAAUGCGUAAAUAUAUGGAGGAACACCAGAGGCGUAGGCGGCUUGCUGGGUCUUUACUGACGCUGAGGCACGAAAGCGUGGGGAGCAAACAGGAUUAGAUACCCUGGUAGUCCACGCCGUAAACGAUGAGUACUAAGUGUCGGGAUUACUCGGUACUGAAGUUAACACAUUAAGUACUCCGCCUGAGUAGUACGUACGCAAGUAUGAAACUUAAAGGAAUUGACGGGACUCCGCACAAGCGGUGGAUCAUGUUGUUUAAUUCGAAGAUACACGAAAAACCUUACCAGGUCUUGACAUACUCUGCAAAGCUAUAGCAAUAUAGUGGAGGUUAUCAGGGAUACAGGUGGUGCAUGGUUGUCGUCAGCUCGUGUCGUGAGAUGUUAGGUUAAGUCCUAAAACGAGCGCAACCCUUGUCAUUAGUUGCCAGCAUGUCAUGAUGGGCACUUUAAUGAGACUGCCAAUGAAAAAUUGGAGGAAGGUGAGGAUCACGUCAAAUCAUCAUGCCCCUUAUGAUCUGGGCUACAAACGUGAUACAAUGGCUGUUACAAAGAGUAGCUGAAACGUAAGUUUAUAGCCAAUCUCAUAAAAGCAGUCUCAGUUCGGAUUGAAGUCUGCAACUCGACUUCAUGAAGUUGGAAUCGCUAGUAAUCGCGAAUCAGCAUGUCGCGGUGAAUACGUUCUCGGGGUUUGUACACACCGCCCGUCAAACCACGAAAGUUGGUAAUACUCAAAAACGGUAGCCUAACUUCUUCGGAAGAGGGAACCGUCU